GAUCGGCUGGACCUUCGGAUCUCCCCGAUAUGAACCUUCCCGUGCUUUUUAGAACAUAGAUGGCACCAGUCAGGUGACCAUCGAAACGUAAUACGCCGCGAUGACUUCGGUCACGACGGUAUGGCGAGCUUUCGCCGUCCACGUUUCUCUUUCUUCAAGAAGACAAAAAACCGCGUCGAUCCAGUUUAGGCUGGGCCGGUUCCCCGAAUGGGCCCGUAGCUCAGUUGGUUAGAGCACACGCUUGAUAAGCGUGGGGUCGGAAGUUCAAGUCUUCCCGGGCCCACCAUUCGCAUAUGCGAAUGAGGGUUAGGGAUGAUGGAAUGUGGCUGAUGCGGAACGUUGCCGAACCUGGUUUAUACCGGGUGAUCGAGCUGGAGGGGCUGUAGCUCAGCUGGGAGAGCACCUGCUUUGCAAGCAGGGGGUCAGCGGUUCGAUCCCGCUCAGCUCCACCAAAUCGAUUGGUGUUGAAGCUGACGGUAACGAAGCGAAAGCUUCGCAAGCGCAAGGCGCGUCGCCAAUCGUUUGGCGCCCCCGCGGAGCGCCUUCGGCGCGUGAGCGACAAAUUUGUCUUUUGAAGAAAUAAAAGUUUUGCAUCGGCUUAUGGCUGAUGCGUGUUCUGCAUACAUUGUGAAGAGAAGAUUGAUCUGGAGGCUUCCAGGUGUUUUGGGUUCUGCCCAAGGCGUCCGAGCCCAGUUCCUGUGAACCCAUGGAUGGCCUAGCCGGCCGGAUGUGGUGGAGGGAUUGGAGGUAGGAAGGAAGCUUGUCGCUCUGAGCCGUUGUUGUUUGUGGUCUUUCGGGACUGCAUCUGACGGACGGCUUGAUUACCGUUGCCUGACCGCGCGGUAUCGGAUCAUAUCUCGAGAAGCUGGUCUUAAGACAGGCUGCAAGCGAGCUGCUCGGCGUAGCUCCAAUAAAGCAGACCUGUCGAACACGUUAAUGGCAUUGUUAGAAAGCGUGAUUGUAAAAGGUAAUCACGCAUGUUUGGCCCGACCGCACGGCAAUCGCAAGGUUGUCCGGAUGGUCGGAUUUGGCACCCCGCGAGGCGAAAGCGAGCGGACAAGGUCUGCCAAAUCAAACAAAGACGAUGAGCAUUGGCAAUGAGAACGAUUAAGUGUCGUAAGGGCAUUUGGUGGAUGCCUUGGCAUGCACAGGCGAUGAAGGACGUGAUACGCUGCGAAAAGCCG
rnacentral:tRNA from 1 species